GAUGAACGCUGGCGGCGUGCCUAAUACAUGCAAGUCGAGCGAACGGACGAGAAGCUUGCUUCUCUGAUGUUAGCGGCGGACGGGUGAGUAACACGUGGAUAACCUACCUAUAAGACUGGGAUAACUUCGGGAAACCGGAGCUAAUACCGGAUAAUAUUUUGAACCGCAUGGUUCAAAAGUAAAAGACGGUCUUGCUGUCACUUAUAGAUGGAUCCGCGCUGCAUUAGCUAGUUGGUAAGGUAACGGCUUACCAAGGCAACGAUGCAUAGCCGACCUGAGAGGGUGAUCGGCCAAACUGGAACUGAGACACGGUCCAGACUCCUACGGGAGGCAGCAGUAGGGAAUCUUCCGCAAUGGGCGAAAGCCUGACGGAGCAACGCCGCGUGAGUGAUGAAGGUCUUCGGAUCGUAAAACUCUGUUAUUAGGGAAGAGCAUAUGUGUAAGUAACUGUGCACAUCUUGACGGUACCUAAUCAGAAAGCCACGGCUAACUACGUG
rnacentral:rRNA from 1 species